UACGAACUGUGCAAACGUUAUUCGGAAUCACUGGGCUUAAAGGGUGCGUAGGCGGCGGCACAAGUCAGGUGUGAAAUCCCCCGGCUCAACCGGGGAACAGCGCUUGAAACUAGGUCGCUCGAGUGAGGCAGGGGUGCAUGGAACUUCCGGUGGAGCGGUGAAAUGUGUAGAGAUCGGAAGGAACGCCGGCGGCGAAAGCGGUGCACUGGGCCUUGUCUGACGCUGAGGCACGAAAGCUAGGGGAGUGAACGGG
rnacentral:rRNA from 1 species